UGGGGAAUAUUGGACAAUGGGCGCAAGCCUGAUCCAGCCAUACCGCGUGGGUGAAGAAGGCCUUCGGGUUGUAAAGCCCUUUUGUUGGGAAAGAAAUCCUGUCGAUUAAUACUCGGUGGGGAUGACGGUACCCAAAGAAUAAGCACCGGCUAACUUCGUGCCAGCAGCCGCGGUAAUACGAAGGGUGCAAGCGUUACUCGGAAUUACUGGGCGUAAAGCGUGCGUAGGUGGUGGUUUACGUCUGCUGUGAAAGCCCUGGGCUCAACCUGGGAAUUGCAGUGGAUACUGGAUCACUAGAGUGUGGUAGAGGGAUGCGGAAUUUCUGGUGUAGCAGUGAAAUGCGUAGAGAUCAGAAGGAACAUCCGUGGCGAAGGCGGCAUCCUGGGCCAUUCCUGACACUCAGACGCGAAAGCUAGGGUAGCAAACGG
rnacentral:rRNA from 1 species